GGAACCAUGUCGAAGUCUGACGGAGCACGCCGCGUGAGUGAUGAAGGUUUUCGGAUCGUAAAACUCUGUUGUUAGGGAAGAACAAGUACCGUUCGAAUAGGGCGGUACCUUGACGGUACCUAACCAGAAAGCCACGGCUAACUACGUGCCAGCAGCCGCGGUAAUACGUAGGUGGCAAGCGUUGUCCGGAAUUAUUGGGCGUAAAGCGCGCGCAGGCGGUUUCUUAAGUCUGAUGUGAAAGCCCCCGGCUCAACCGGGGAGGGUCAUUGAAAACUGGGGAACUUGAGUGCAAAAGAGGAAAGUGGAAUUCCACGUGUAGCGGUGAAAUGCGUAAAGAUGUGGAGGAACACCAGUGGCGAAGGCGACUCUCUGGUCUGUAACUGACGCUGAGGCGCGAAAGCGUGGGAAGCGAACAGGAUUAAAUACCCUGGUAGUCCACGCCGUAAACGAUGAGUGCUAAUGGUUAGAGGGUUUCCGCCCUUUAUUGCUGCACCAAACGCAUUAAGCACUCCGCCUGGGAAGUACGGUCGCAAGACUGAAACUCAGGAUUUUUUUAGGGG
rnacentral:rRNA from 1 species